GCCUCAGUGCCAGAACCACCUUUCAGAAACCUUGGGGAUGGGCCCCCACCUCUGCAUGCACCCCUGAGCCCCCGCCUCACAGUCCUGGCCUCCCAGGUUGACUCCCUCCCUCCCUGCCAGGCUGGUGGCCCACGCCCCACAGUCCUGGCCUCCCAGGGUGACUCCUUCCCUCCCUGCCAGGCUGGUGGCCCAGAUCCAUGAUGAGCUGCUGUUUGAAGUGGAAGAUCCGCAGAUCCCGGAGUGUGCAGCUCUCGUCAGGAGGACCAUGGAGUCCUUGGAACAGGUGCAGGCAUUGGAGCUGCAGCUUCAGGUGUCCAAGAAGCCACCAGCUCUG
rnacentral:lncRNA from 1 species